rnacentral:rRNA from 1 species
GAUGAACGCUGACAGAAUGCUUAACACAUGCCAGUCUUUGGUGAAGCUGUGCUUGCACAGCCUAGCCAAGGCGGACGGGUGAGUAACGCGUAAGGAACUUGCCCUGCAGUCAGGGAUAACAGACGGAAACGACUGAUAAGACCUGGUAAAGUCAGGCGGACUCAUGUCCAGCCUGAUGAAAAGAGAUGCUGCAGGAGAGCCUUGCGUCCUAUUAGCUUGUUGGUGGGGUAACGGCCCACCAAGGCAAUGAUAGGUAGCCGGCCUGAGAGGGUGGACGGCCACAAGGGGACUGAGAUACGGCCCUUACUCCUACGGGAGGCAGCAGUGGGGAAUAUUGGACAAUGGGGGCAACCCUGAUCCAGCAAUUCUGGGUGCACGAUGAAGGUUUUCGGAUGGUAAAGUGCUUUCAGCAGGGAAGAAAAAAAUGACGGUACCUGCAGAAGAAGCGACGGCUAAAUACGUGC